AGGUAUGGAUAUCGAGACAGCCUGUCCGUCCUGCGAUUUGGAGGAUGAGAUUACAGAGCACGUUCUUUUUGUGUAUGAGGACUCGAUAGAUUUGGCAUCUGGCCAGUAUGCUCCAUCUUAUCUCUCAGACCAAGGCUUCGAUCCUGACCAUUCUGGACUUGCUCAGGUGGAGCACCGAGACUGUGGUGACCAAGGUGGGUAGUGUUCAUAUUGCCUAUAUUGCCAAUUAGAUUUGGCUGUCCAAGAAUAGCCUAGUAUUUGAGUGUAGGAG
rnacentral:lncRNA from 1 species